rnacentral:rRNA from 1 species
CCUACGGGAGGCAGCAGUGGGGGAUAUUGCACAAUGGGGGAAACCCUGAUGCAGCGACGCCGCGUGAGUGAAGAAGUAUCUCGGUAUGUAAAGCUCUAUCAGCAGGGAAGAAAAAAGACGGUACCUGACUAAGAAGCCCCUGCUAACUACGUGCCAGCAGCCGCGGUAAUACGCAGGGGGCAAGCGUUAUCCGGAUUUACUGGGGGUAUAGGGAGCGUAGACGGCAAUACAAGUCGGAAGUGAAAUACCCGGGCUCAACCUGGGAACUGCUUUGGAAACUGGAUGUCUGGAGUGCUGGAGAGGUAGGCGGAAUUCGUGGUGUAGCGGUGAAAUGCGUAGAUAUUAGGAGGAACCCCGGUGGCGAAGGCGGCUUACUGGACAAUAACUGACGUUGAGGCUCGAAAGCGUGGGGAGCAAACAGGAUUAGAUACCCGAGUAGUC